CUGCUUGUUUCAGCAGCACAUAUACUAUAAUUGUAACGACACACAGAAGAUUAGCAUGGGCCCUGCGCAAAGAUGACACACAAAUUCACGAAGUAUUCUAUAUUUAA
rfam:Pteropus alecto contig166386, whole genome shotgun sequence.